CACCGCGGUUAGACGAAGGGCCCAAGUUGAUGAAAUUCGGCGUAAAGGGUGGUUAGUGCUCACAGCAACUAAAGCUAAACGCCUUUGCAACCGUAUAAAGUCCAUCAAGGACAGAGACCCUUCGACGAAAGUAGCUUUAAUUCACACGACUCCACGAAAACUAAGGGA
rnacentral:rRNA from 1 species